UGGGGAAUUUUCCGCAAUGGACGAAAGUCUGACGGAGCAACGCCGCGUGAGUGAUGAAGGCCUUCGGGUUGUAAAGCUCUGUCUUAUGGGAAGAAGAAAGUGACGGUACCAUAGGAGGAAGCCACGGCUAACUACGUGCCAGCAGCCGCGGUAAUACGUAGGUGGCGAGCGUUGUCCGGAAUCACUGGGCGUAAAGGGCGCGUAGGCGGUUAAUUAAGUCAGGUGUGAAAACUUUGGGCUCAACCCAGAGACUGCACCUGAUACUGGAUAACUUGAGUGCAGGAGAGGACAGUGGAAUUCCUAGUGUAGCGGUGAAAUGCGUAGAUAUUAGGAGGAACACCAGUGGCGAAGGCGGCUGUCUGGACUGUAACUGACGCUGAGGCGCGAAAGCGUGGGGAGC
rnacentral:rRNA from 1 species